GAUGAACGCUGGCGGCGUGCCUAACACAUGCAAGUCGAACGGGAGGGCGGACGGGUGAGUAACACGUGGGCAACCUGGCUCAUAGAGGGGGAUAAAAGAGAGAAAUUUCUGCUAAUACCGCAUACUAUGAGAUGGACACGCGUCUGAUUAGCCAGUUGGAAGGGAAAGAGCCUACCAAAGCGACGCGCAGUAGCCGAUCAGAGAGGAUGAACUGCCACAUUUGGACUGGUAACCAGACCAAACUCCUACGGGAGGCAGCAGUGGGUGAUAUUGCACAAUGGGGUGAACCCUGAUGCAGCGACGCCGCGUGAGUGAAGAAGUAUUUCGGUAUGUAAAGCUCUAUCAGCAGGGAAGCAGUACCUGAAUAAGAAGCCCCGGCUAACUACGUGCCAGCAGCCGCGGUAAUAC
rnacentral:rRNA from 1 species